AAACCAUGAUUUGGAUAUUUUCUUAACAAGGAUUUCAAUAUCUCCCAUGCCUCACAAAGUGGUUCAUCAUUUGUUUGAGAGAAUAUGGCUAUAGCAGAUUUGGCUU